UGAAUCUGUAAAACACAAGAAAAGGUUGAUUGGUGGGUAAGAACAGUGACAUCCAUCAAGGCAGGUAACGUCUGUAAUCAGUUUCUUCACUAAGACCCAGUCUCUCUCUAGUCUGUCUGUGCCUCUGGGGAGGAGCUCUCUGCCAGGCCAGGCCUGUGACUGCUGUCCCUGCUCCCAUCUGCUCCUCCUCUCUGUGAGGUAGCCCAGCUGCAUCAUCACUCAACCUAACGUCUGCUCAGCGCUGGUCAUGUCACUCUCCUACUCAGAACCCUUCAACAGCUCCCAAAACUUCAUUCAAAGGCCACCACCAUCCAAACCUCAGCCCUUAUGCAGACUCCACACUUCACCAAAAUGGUCUGCUUGUCAUUGCCUGACAUGGCAAUGAUGAAAACAACAAGUGAGCUGAGGAUCUCCAUGAUACCCCACUGACCUGCCCAACUACACUUGGUCAGAUGUGAGCUAUCCUGAGGCAGCCAGGACCAUGUGCCUCCUCCCCGCAUGUGCCCACAACUGCUGGGAUGGCUGACUUCUCUUCCCUGAGCCCGCCCUCAACGUUGCCUCAGCGUGAGUCAGCUGCUACCAAGGCAUGGAGCUGGCAAGUAUAAUGGAACUCCCCUGCUACUCGAGCUCAGGCACUUAAUAGCUGUGUUAUUUAGGUCAAGCUACUUCUUUCAGACUGUUCCCUGGCCUGCAGAAUGGUGAUGCCACCACCUAGCGCACAGGGUUGUUGGAAGGAUUAAAGGAGAAUGUAUGUAAAAUGCCUGAUACAUAAAAAGUAUACAAUAAAUGUUCCCCUAGUGCUAAAGUAAAGCUUGCUGAGGAAAGACUGGGGCAAUGUCAAAUGAGAGUUAAGACUAGAAAGAAAGACAAAACCAAGCUGUUGUCUAGGCAGAGCUUCACAGCAGGUGUGUCAGGAAUGGCUUACGGGUUUGGUCAAGUGACCCUACAGUUUACUGUCUAACCUGGAACAACUGUGAGAAUUAAAGGAGUCACCAUUAAUAAUUAUCCCAAGACUACAGAUGCAAACAGACCCAAGUUUACCCUAGAAUAGGUGGAACGGGACAUGGAUGCCCGUCAGCCCUUGGGAUAGCAGGGCAGAGCCUGGGCUGCAGAGGCUCCAGGUAGUUUGCUCCCGGAGGAGCCUCAAUGUGCUCUUCAAAUAGUUUCAUAUUCUAUGUGUGUCAGGGCAUGAAAGAGGUCAGGAAACACUGGUCUAGGUAACUUAAAAAAAAAAAAGGCAAAAAAAUACAGUUUGAAGCACUGAGAUUAUCCCAAGCUUACAGGGGGCCCAGUUAAUUAUACUCACAGACCAGCUCAUGUACUUCCUGCUAAGGUCUAGCCUUACAGACUACAAUUAAAACAUUCUGGUAAUUGUUUAGGGUUUUAAAGAAGGAAUAGCAAUAGUCACCACCGUCAUGUCUCUAACUCUUUACAGUGGGUUGCCCUGUAAAGUGAAACUUCUGUUCUGCAACAGCAGAAUUUUUACUUUUUUUCCCAGGCCAUUACAGGAGAGAGUAAACUAAAGCAGGCAGGAGAGCCCAGAGCAUUACAAUGAGGCUUUAACUGCACAUUCUAGAAAGACAUCAGAAACUACUUAAAAGGUUUUCACAUGAGAUUACCACUAUCAUCUUUCAAGCAGGGAGAAAGGGAAAAUGAAGAGACCUAUGCCUAUUUUACUCUCAGAGGCCAGCUCUGAAGGUCAAAUUGUAAGGGGUCUCACUGGAAUACAAACUGUAAAACCAUUUAGAAAACUUAAACUUAUAUUUUAAAGCUCUUGGAAAGCCUGGGUUUUGUGAAAAAGGAAAGAAGAGACAAAUCAUAGUACGUUUCCUUUCUCUCACAGAGCACCCUGUGCACACCUUCUGGCUGCAUUUGGAUCCAGUGAAAAUGUGCUGUGUGUUCACUGUGUUGGGUGUUCACCUCUAUCACCCACACACGGUUCCUAAGAAUUGAGUGCUGGUCUCUUUUAUCACAGCUCUUCGCUAUUACUUCUAAGUGUGUAAUUAGUACACAGAAUCCGACAGACCAAAGUCCUAAAGUUCACUCCCAGAAAGGUUCCAAAUUAAUUUCUAGAAUAAAAAAAAGUUAAGAUAAUUAUCAAGCCAGUCAUCUCACAAAUAUGGGUCAGUGACGGAGGGCUCGACACAGUGACCCACAACCUUUUACUGUAAAGGAACCUUCUACUGCCUUUUUCCUGGGCCUAAAGUAUUUUGUCUAAUUAAUGAAAUAGAAUUUAUCUUCCUUUUUUGUAUCACUUAUUCCACCCUCUCACUAAUUCAGAUUUUAAACCAAUGACCUAUAAUUACCAACAGUGUAUAAGGUGGAAUUAUGUAAGGUUCUGUCAUCAUUGUGAGGACAAGGCUAUCAUGUUAAGUAAGAACAAACACUCAAGCCACCAGUCCUGUAACCAAGGCUGCGCGUCUCCAGGCCCACCACACACUGGAUGUGUUCAGGUGGGGGACAGAGCUCCUUACAGCCCUGGUAACAGUGGCCCUGUUAACAGUCAGGCUGACUAAUCAAGCGUCAGAAACUCCCAGAAUGCCAUCAAUAGCUAGAGUUUCUGAUCUACAUGGGAUAUGCAGUGUUGGGACAAUCAAUAUAAAUCCAGGAAAGGCCUGAUGGUUCUAUGAGUCUUUGUAGUCUCACUGAAGUAAGACUACAAUUUCCUUCAGGUUUUUGAAAUUCAAAAAUUGCCCAUUGACUUCUAAUGGUCUGAAAGCCCCAACUGGGAAUCACUGGCAUAUCCCAAUCCUACGAACAUAAAAAUAGCCAGCUGCAGACUUACUAACAUUUUCACCUUCCCAUACAAGAGACCUUAUGUGUUAAGACUGGUGAAGAUAGCAUCAGAUAUAGGCAAGAAAAAAGCAGAAGGUAUAUCAGAUGGUAACAAUAAAGGCUAACAUUUAACAGGA